AGACAGUAGAUACUCAGUCAACAUUCUCCAACAGUCGGCCAUGCCAACCACUUGCACAUUUCAUGCUUGGGGCAUGUGGUGAGAAAAAGGACAGUGGACAAGAGCUACACACAAAGAAGGCUCUUCCUUUCUUCACACUUCUGAUUGUCUUCCUUGGAGCCUCCAAUUUUCCUGUGUCCAGACUUUGGUAUUCAGUGUGGGCCCAUUGUAGUGUCUGGAAAAAUUUAUUUAUUUUACAGCUCCUGAACAGAACUAGCAUUCAUUUUCCAAGUUGGAAUCACAAGAGAAAUAUGAAAGCUAACUGCACAUAGUAUAAAUAAACAUGAUAUGGGAACAUGAGAGCAGAACACAGCAGCCUGACAUAGACGAGAGAGACAAUCCAGCAUAACAAAUAGGUCACUCUAACUGGUGGCCAUAAAAAUGUCAGAAGAAUGUAUCACAGACAUUAAGAACCUUAAUUUUGCAGUUUAAAAAAAGUGGAACCCAGAGAGACUGAGUGUGUUACCCAAGAUCAGCAAUAGCCCCAGCAUCUCAUGGAUCCAGGAACCACAUGUUACGCACUGCGCCAGAGCUCCUGCUAAGAUGACAAUUUCUUCUUUAGGCAUGCACUAUGGAACAACAUCAACAAAAAGGAGCACCAGCAGGAAGAAACUAACUAAUGUACAGUCAGCAAAAAAGUCCAGAUUUUAGUGCAUUUUUACUCACAUCCUCAGAGAAAGAGAAUACAAGCUGUAUUUGACACAAGCAACUCUGCAAACUUUAAUUACAGCACUUGGAAAACCUUACAUGUAAAAGUAAUUAAAAAUAAAUUGUUCCCUGGGAAGAAACAGGCUAAUUUGAA